rnacentral:sRNA from 1 species
GCCGGGUGUAGUGGCAUACACCUGUAAUCCCAGCAACUUGGGAGGCUGAGGCAGGAGGAUUGCAAGUUCAAGGCCAGCCUUAGCAACUUAAUGAGAACCUGUCUCAA